GGGAGUUGCAAGUUAGUCCUGCCGCCUAUCCGCCAUCUUCAAACCCACAAUUUUUUUUUUUUUUUUUAGUUGUAGCCUUUAAAUACAUCUUAAUUAACUGAAAAGCCCUUGAAAAAGCAAGAAAAAGUCAAAGAAAGUAUUUCAAGAUAAAGGUCUCUUCACUGAUAAUUUGGAAGUUGUUGCAUGUCAAUGUGUUGCUAGAAUUGUAAAAGAAAUGUUUAUAACAUUCUGAUGAUGGAGCCAAAAUUGCAGAAUGAAUAAAGGAGAGGAAGAAGAAACCUGUUCCUUGAAGAUAACGUUAACUGAGUCAAAUAACUCAGGAAAUGCCUUUCACCUCCUGCCGUGAUUCUGAGGCCUCCCCAGCCAUGUGGAACUGAACAACUGACUUUCCUCUAGAGGAUUUGAACUGGAGGAGGCUUGAAGUUGAACAAUGGAACUCUCAGUACCAACUUCCCUUUACAGUCUGAUCUCAGAAAUCUGACAGCCAGUUGUAUUCCCCCAGACCCUCUACCUUCACCUGUAAGUCUAAGUGGCAGGAAUUUCGCAACUCCAAAAAGUGAUGCCGAAAAAUAUUGGAGCAAUGUCUUCAAAAUUGUAAGAGUAUACACCCAACUAAACUGUUGACAAGUAGCAUAAAGGGUAGAAUAAAGAUUUUUCCCUGGCCAGGUGUGGUAGCUCACACCUGUGAUCCCAGAACUUUGGGAGACCAAGGCUGGAAGAUUGCUUGAGCCGAGGAGUUUGGGACCAGCCUGGGCAACAUAGGAAGAUUCUGUCUCCACAAAAUUUUAAAAAAUUAGCUGAGCGUGGUGGCAUGCGCCUGUGGUCCCAGCUACUCAUAGGGUGAGGCGUGAGGAUCGCUUUAAUCCGGGAAGUCAAAGUUGCAGUGAGCCAGGAUGGUGCCACUGCACUCCAGCCUGGGUGACAGAGUAAGACCUUGUCUAAAAAAAAAAAAAAACGUAUUUAUCAACUAUGGAAGUCCUCAAAACAUUUGCCUUCUUAGGAAGCAAGUAGAAGAUAUACUUUAACCAAAAUAAGGGGAUAAACCAAGAAUCAUAAGGACACUGAAUUCAGGAAACAGGGAUUAGAACACGGGAGACCUGCAAAAGGAUAUUCAGGAUGCAACUACACAAUCAGGCCUAGAACGCAGCUGACAGAGAUCGAUCGGGACACGGGGGCUCAGGAUGGAGGACUGUAGGUUAAAAAAAAAAUGGAACUCAUGUAUCUUCUGAGUUUUUGAAUCUUAUGUGCAUUCAGAAACCUACAAAGAGUCUGUGAGUAGUCCUCCGACCUUCCAUUUCUUUUUACUUUCGUUGGCCCUGUGUAAAACAAAUGUCAUUAUACUUAUCUUUUUCUCUGUUUAUGUUUUCAUUUUUCAUAUGAGAAAUAUAAUUUUCUUUUAGGAAUUAUAUAAUUAAAAAAUUACAAGC
rnacentral:lncRNA from 1 species